rnacentral:tRNA from 1 species
GGAGGGGUGCGGGAGAGGUUGAUCCGGCCGGUCUCGAAAACCGGUAGGCCGAAAGGUCUCGAGGGUUCGAAUCCCUCCCCCUCCG